rnacentral:rRNA from 1 species
AUUGAACGCUGGCGGCAGGCCUAACACAUGCAAGUCGAGCGAGAGGCGGGGGGGGGAGUAAUGUGUCGGGGAAUGCGCGAUAUAGGGGGAUAACUACUCGAAACGGUGGCUAAUACACCAUACGGUCGGAGGAACCCAUAUGGGAUUAGCUAGUAGGUGAGGUAAUGGAUUACCUAGACGACGAUCCCUAGCUGGUCUGAGAGGAUGAUCAGCCACACUGGAACUGAGAAACGGUCCAGACUCCUACGGGAGGCAGCAGUGGGGAAUAUUGCACAAUGGGCGCAAGCCUGAUGCAGCCAUGCCGCGUGUAUGAAGAAGGCCCUCGGGUUGUAAAGUACUUUCAGUGGGGAGGCGUUACCGACAGAAGAAGCACCGGCUAACUACGUGCCAGCAGCCGCGGUAAUUC